rnacentral:lncRNA from 1 species
GUUUACUGGUCUGACAAACAUUUGCCAACCAUCAAACAAGCUAUUUAAAUUAACUGUAAGAGUUAUAGUUAAUAGAAUUUAAACUGAUUUUUAAAAAUGCAUUUCAGAAUAAAACUCAUGCUUAAAAUAUUAAUGUUUAGCUAAAGGGAUUGUAAUUUGUUCCAAAGAGAAGCUGCAGUAUGGGAUACGUGGCUUUGGUGGCAUUCCUUAACCACAAGAAAUUUGGCUUGGUAGGAUAUUCCCCCAGAGCUUCUGUUACAGUUAUUCCCCAGACUCAUUUCUUCUCUGCCCAAUGCUUCAGAUUCCAACCUGUCAGAAUCAUGGAAAGGGAUUUUGAAGCUGAAACACGACCUUCAAGUCAACACAAGAGUGUGUCCCAACUGAGAGACACAAAACCAUCCCCUCCCAAACAAGCAACUGAUCUCCAUGAGGCUAACCAGAAACUUAAGGAACCAGAUGGAGGACCACAAGCAGACAGUGCCAUCACAUCUCCCAUCUUGGAAGCAUUUUCCCGGUGUGCAAUGCCCUUUACUGACGUGCAGCCCCCAGUGAGGGAUGUGCUGAUGGCUGUGCUCUCUGAGGAACAGCAUCGCUGCUGUGCUGCCCACAGCCAGAACUGCUGCAUGGUGCCCCAGCUCUCUGUGGGAUCACAGGGAGCUUUCCUGGAGGGAAGAUGCUCUCUAAAUCCUGCUUAUCUGGCAAGAAGAUUUGCAAAAAAGGAGCCCUCUGCCCCCUCAUCUUGCACAGACGGUCUGACUCACUGGACUCAGGAUUCCCAUCUGGAUGUCUCUUUGAAAGAUGGGUGCAAGCCAAGGAGUUUGUCUAUUCUUAGCCUUAUCUGUUAUAAAGAUAGUUUUCCCCAUAAAAAUCUCCUGUCAUUCAGCCAUCUCAGAGAACACCUGUCUCUAAGCAAAACCAGCAGCAGUGUGAAUCCUAUUCCCUGCUCAUUUUAAUGCGGUGUUAAUAUCAGAGCCUGAUGGAGAUUAUAUAAGCGCUGACAUAGCUGAGGAAAACCGUGAAAGAAACAAAAAUAAAUGGAAGUCAAAUAAUUUGAACCCUGUCA